rnacentral:rRNA from 1 species
GACGAACGCUGGCGGCGUGCUUAACACAUGCAAGUCGAACGGAAAGGCCCUGCUUGCAGGGUGCUCGAGUGGCGAACGGGUGAGUAACACGUGGGUGAUCUGCCCCUUAUUUUGGGAUAAGCCUGGGAAACUGGGUCUAAUACUGGAUAGGACCAUGCUGUAGGUGGUGUGGUGGAAAGAUUAGUUUCGGUAAGGGAUGAGCUCGCGGCCUAUCAGCUUGUUGGUGGGGUAAUGGCCUACCAAGGCGUCGACGGGUAGCCGGCCUGAGAGGGUGGACGGCCACAUUGGGACUGAGAUACGGCCCAGACUCCUACGUGAGGCAGCAGUGGGGAAUAGUGCACAAUGGGCGCAAGCCUGAUGCAGCGACGCCGCGUGGGGGAUGACGGCCUUCGGGUUGUAAACUCCUUUCAGCCAUGACGAAGCCCUUGUGGUGACGGUAGUGGUAGAAGAAGCACCGGCUAACUACGUG